AUGACUUGGUCUAAAAGCACUAAGAUCAGGAAUCAUACAAGCUCUCGUCUGCACAUGGAUAAAUAGUCAACCUUAACUACACGCUACAGCACUGGAGACAAACACUAUGGGGAAUUCAUGUAGCCUUCUGGCUCCUGCUUCUCUGUAGUAACAGCUGGGUUAGGAAUGUCCAAUGUUGGCAUUCAGUUGGCAUGGUUUGACGAUGGUAUUAUUGGGAGACCAUGCCGGAAAACUUUGAAUUUGAUAUUUUGCCAAGAAAUACGUUUGAAUGAAAGUAUAGCAUACUUCCAAAUAGAAUGUCCACGACACAAUGUUUUAGUUUCGAAACCGUAAUUCUGGAACGGGGUGAGUGACUGGUUGACGGGAAGUCAGGCGUAGGAGAGUAGAGAUGGGUGGUAACAGCUUUAAUAUAUACCCUGGCCCAAAGGUACAGGAGAACUUUAAUAUAUACCCUGGCCCAAAGGUACAGGAGAACUUUAAUAUAUACCCUGGCCCAAAGGUACAGGAGAGCAGAGAUGGGUGGUAACAGCUUUAAUAUAUACCCUGGCCCAAAGGUACAGGAGAACUUUAAUAUAUACCCUGGCCCAAAGGUACAGGAGAGCAGAGAUGGGUGGUAACAGCUUUAAUAUAUACCCUGGCCCAAAGGUACAGGAGAGCAGAGAUGGGUGGUAACAGCUUUAAUAUAUACCCUGGCCCAAAGGUACAGGAGAGCAGAGAUGGGUGGUAACAGCUUUAAUAUACACCCUGGCCCAAAGGUACAGGAAAGCAGAGAUGGGUGGUAACAGGAUAACUUUAAUAUAUACCCUGGCCCAAAGGUACAGGAGAACAGAGAUGGGUGGUAACAGCUUUAAUAUAUACCCUGGCCCAAAAGGCACAGGUGAGGCAGCAAAAAGCACAACCAUGGUAACAUGAACCGGAUUAAACAAAACAAACAACCCUAGGUUAUAAACAACCCUUGGUUAGAAACAACCCUAGGUUAUAAACAACCCUAGGUUAUAAACAA